CAACAACCGCCCAAGGGCUGAGGAGUGCGGGCGCACAGCGUGGGACUGGCAGACAGCUCCACCUGCAGCCCCCGGGCGGGAUCCACUGAGUGAAGCCAGCUGGGCUCUUGAGUCUGGUGGGGACUUGGAGAAUCUUUAUGUCUAGCUAAGGGAUUGUAAAUACACCAAUCAGCACUCUGUAUCUAGCUCAAGGUUUGUAAAUGCACCAAUCAGCACUCUGUGUCUAGCUGAUCUGGUGGGGACUUGGAGAACAUUUAUGUCUAGCUAAGGGAUUGUGAAUACACCAAUCAGCACUCUGUAUCUAGCUCAAGGUUUGUAAAUGCACCAAUCAGCACCCUGUGUCUAGCUAAUCUGGUGGGGACUUGGAGAACCUUUGUGUCUAGCUCAGGAUUGUAAACGCACCAAUCAGCACCCUGUCAAAACAGACCAAUCAGCUCUCUGUAAAACAGACCAAUCAGCUCUCUGUAAAAUGGGCCAAUCAGCAGGAUGUGGGUGGAGCCAGAUAAGGGAAGAAAAGCAGGCUCUCCGAGCUAGCGGUGGCAAUCUGUUAGGGUUUGUGUCUGUCGUGUGGAAGCUUUGUUCAUUCGUCUUUUGCAAUAAAUCUUGCUACUGCUCAGUCUUUGGGUCCACACUGCUUUUAUGAGCUGUAGCAGUCACCACGAAGGUCUGCAGCUGCACUCCUGAGGCUAGCGAGACCACGAACCCACCGGGAGGAGCGAACGACUCCAGACGCGCUGACUUAAGAGCUGUAACAGCUUACCGCUAAGGUCUGCAGCUUCACUCCUGAGCCAGAGAGACCAGGAACCCACCUAGAAGGAACAAACUCCGGACAUGCCGCCUUUAAGAGCUGUAACACUCACCGCCAGGGUCCGCAGCUGCAUUCUUGAAGUCAGUGAGACCAAGAACCCACCAAUUCCAGACACACUGUCAUCAAAAAGUGGGAUAUCUUUUUAAACAGAGAUAACAUUGCAGAAUCUUGGAGUUGGAAAUAGACCUCAGCUGGGGUUUAGUCCUGUUUUCUCCUCAGAGCAGAAGUCCUGGGAUGCCGUUCUGGACUGAUUGUCAGUUUUUUCUCCUGUCCUUGAGCUAUUCUAAUGCCAGACAUCUGUGGCUUUACACAGCCAGGCUUUCAGUUAGAGAACUUGGUUAGCUCAGGUCAACAAAUGCUGCUCUGAGAACACUGACUCCCAUGUGGGGAGACUCUGCACCUGGAGCUCCGGGAGAGCCGGCUCAGGCCUCUUCCUGCUAUCCAGGGAACUGCAGUGGCGUUGGAGGGCCUUGCUGGGGCUGGGGCUGGGGAGAAGGGAUUCCAACCCUACUGAUAAUUCGUUUGGAAACACCGGGCUGUGGAUUUCAGAAGUUCUUGGGCAGCCUGAUUACCACUGGCAGUGAGCCGGGGACGAAGCCGAAGCUAUGAGUGACAGACGGAAAGAACUGGGGGCUUUGGUGAACCAGAGAACACUUAGCUCCUCCAGCCCUGAAGCAGGCGUCACCGCAGGGCUUAUGGUCCUAAGAGCCACUUAGUUUCCUUAUUCAUUAAACUAGUUUAAUUUGGGUUUUCUGCAUCCUGGAGGACACCAAGUCGGUGUGCGGAGGGACCCUGUAGACACGUGUGCAAAGAAUAAGCCGACGAUCAUGGAAUUUCUGAUGACGCCACUGACACGUGGGAUGGAGGCCUCCUUCCCAGGGCACCCCUACACUCAUGACAAUGAAUCCUGGCUCUUAUUCACCCCUUUGGAUUUCACAAGCAAGUAACACAAUGUGAACCCUGGGAAUUCAAGGCUGAAUAGUACGAAGUCCUUUCCUCACAGAGUUCAGGACCCAGGAGUGGAGGCCAGAUAAGGAUACGCUGUCUCUUCAUAGAAACUUUCUCCAGUGCUCGCCUGCCCACAGACCUGGUUAGAGGCCCCGCUUUUUAUGGCCCCCCGGACUUAACCACGUCACAGAAAUCAUCACAUUGUGUUGAGCCUCCUGGGUUUCUUUGGACUGGAAGCUCCCUGAGGGCAGGGUUAUCUUGUUCGUCCUUUCAUCCCCAGGGCCUGGCAUAAGACCUGGCGAAGAGCUGCUGCAUGCUAAAGCUUUGCUAAUUGAAUGACUGUGUGUUAUUUCUUAAAUUCAAUGAGAAAUCACUCUACAAAGUCCAGGAGAAUGAAAGUCUCAAUAACCGAGCUUUCUCUCCCCUGAGCACCUACACAGGAAACUCAAUUACAGUUGCAAGAGGCCUCGAAGACCUGCAGGAUUUAGAAGAAUCCAGGCAUCUCCGGGCCCCUGGCUGGGGCUUCUGCAUCUGACAAUAGAGAUGGCUUUGCUCAGGGGAAGAAUACUUUGGGCUCUGACUCACUCCAUGAGCACUGGGUAGCGUCAAGCAUUUGGAAUGGAUUCAGAUAAGGGCCAGCCCGGCUGGUGCCAGAGCAGGGCACAGAGCCUGUUUCCUACCGAUCCUGGAUCCUGACAGUGCGACUCCGCGUGCGGCUUCUCCCUGCCAUGGUCUUAGAUUUCAACCUGUCUCAGUGUAUGAAGAGCGAGAAGGAUUCAUUCCAGGCCCAGGUGUGUGAUGUCCCCCUCCCUGUUUCUAUGUGUUCUCAUUGUUCAACUCCCAUUUAUGAGUGAGAACAUGCAGUGUUUGGUUUUCUGUUCCUGUGUUAGUUUGCUGAGAAUGAUGGUUUCCAGCUUCAUCCAUGUCCCUGCAAAAGACAUAAACUCAUCCGUUUUUAUGGCUGCAUAGUAUUCCAUGGUGUUAAAGACUUAAACAUAAGACCUCAAACCACCAUAAAAAGCCUAGAAGAAAACCUAGGCAAUAUCUUUCAGGACAUAGGCAUGGGCAAAGACUUCAUGAUUAAAACACCAAAAGUAAUGGCAACAAAAGCCAAAAUUGACAAGUGGGAUCUAAUUAAACUAAAGAGCUUCUGCACAGCAAAAAGAACUAUUGUCAGAGUGAACAGGCAACCUACAGAAUGGGAGAAAAUUUGUGCAAUCUAUCCAUCUAACAAACGGCUAAUAUCCAGAAUCUACAAGGAACUUAAACAAAUUUACAAGAAAAAAAAAAACAACCCCAUCAAAAAGUGGACAAAGGAUAUGAACAGACACUUCUCUAAAGAAGACAUUUAUGUGGCCAACAAACAUGAAAAAAAGCUCUUCAUCACUGGUCGUUAGAGAAAUGCAAAUCAAAACCACAAUGAGAUACCGUCUCACCAGUUAGAAUGGCGCAAGUUAGAAUGGCGAUCAUUAAAAAGUCAGGAAACAACAGAUGCUGGAAAGGAUGUGGAGAAAUAGGAACGUGUUGAUGCUGUUGGUGGGAAUGUAAAUUAGUUCAACCAUUGUGGAAGACAGUAUGAUGAUUGUUAAGACAAUUCUACUAAAGGAAAACUAUCUCUGCUUUGCAUUAAAUAUCUUGCAUUUGCUGUUUUUCCUUAAGAUUUCUUAAAUCAAAUUGUACAUCAUAAAACAGGUCUAAUAAUCGGCUGGGCGGGGUGGCUCACACUGUAAUCCCAGCAGCACUUUGGGAGGCCAAGGUGGGCUGAUCAGCUGAGGUCAGACCAGCUUAGCCAACAUGGUGAAACCGCACCUCUACUAAAAACACAAAAAAAUUAGCCAGUGUGGUGGUGCAUGCCUGUAAUCCCAGCUACUCAGGAGACUGAGGCAGGAGAAUAGCUUGAACCCAGGAGGCAGAGGUUGCAGUGAGCUGAGAUUGCACCAUUGCACUCCAGCCUGGGCAACAGACUGAGACUCAGUCUAAAAAACAAAACAGAACAAAACAAAAAAACCAGGCAUAAUAGUACUCUCCCACAUUCCCCGUAUUCUUUGACUGCUGACAAAAUAAAACACACUGUCAGUUCUCUGACCUUCAAAAGUCAGGUGUGGAUAUUGGGUGAAAUUGAAUGUCACGUUACUUGUGGGAGAAAAUUGCUAUUUUCUUAAAGGAAACUUGGCCAGGGCCUCUGUCCUGUCCUUCCCUGACUCAGCUGAUUGCAGCUUGCAGGACUCCUCCCCGCAGUGCUUCUACCAGGACAAUGACACCAGGUACCUUGUUGCUCACUUCCCUUUCUCCACACUUGUUUUUGAGGAGUUCAGGUGACCAAUAUUUCCCAGGGCUCCAAGAAAGCAAUACAGGUGUAACUUCACCUUUGCCAUUGCCGUGAAAGGACUAUGUGCUCACCUGCAUAUCAAGUGGAAUGGGCCCAUAUGGAUUUAGCUUAGCCCAUCCAGAUUUUUAAAAAUACCUGUUAAGUGUUUGCCUUUCUUCUAUUUUCAUAUUUAAGGAGCCGAAGAAUCAAUAGAGCUGAGGGCAGCAAGAUGGAAUUAUAACUCAUCCACCCCCCUUUACUGUACUCAAGAUAUAAUAUUCCUUGACCCCUCUACAUCUGCUUUGCAAUUUUCUAUCCUUGAUCAUCAAUGCCUUCUUUAGGUGGCUUCCCCUCCUGUCACUCUAUGAUCCUUAUCUUUGUAAACUGUCUGUUGUUUUAUAACUGAGUUGACUUUAGUGAAUAAUCAGAAAACAAGUUGCCGGUUAAUAUAUUCUUAGGAUAAACUGAAGAUUAUGCCUGGAGAGGCUUGUCCAUGGUGCAGCUGAGACGUCUCCUAUCUUCUUUUCUGUCUUUUUUUUUUUU
rnacentral:lncRNA from 10 species